UACGUAGGGUGCGAGCGUUAAUCGGAAUUACUGGGCGUAAAGCGUGCGCAGGCGGUUCGUUGUGUCGGUGGUGAAAGCCCCAGGCUUAACCUGGGAAUGGCCAUGGAAACUGGCGAACUGGAGUGUGGCAGAGGGGGGUGGAAUUCCGCGUGUAGCAGUGAAAUGCGUAGAGAUGCGGAGGAACACCGAUGGCGAAGGCAGCCCCCUGGGCUAGCACUGACGCUCAGGCACGAAAGCGUGGGGAGCAAACAGG
rnacentral:rRNA from 1 species